GAUGGUACAGCUCAGUGGUAGAGCGUGUGUGCUUAGCACGCACAAGGUCCUGGGUCCAAUCCCCUGUACCACCA
rnacentral:tRNA from 1 species